rnacentral:tRNA from 9 species
GCACUUAUAGCUCAGUGGAUAGAGCGUUACCCUCCGGAGGUAAAAGUCGCAGGUUCAAAUCCUGCUAAGUGCA